CCAAGUUAUUAAUUUAUUUUAUCUUGCCUUCAAAGUCUAUUAGUAUUUUUCUCCUCUAUAUAUAUUUGUACAACAACCAUUCCUCUUACACCAAUCUCCACAAUUUCUUGACCAAAAAUAAUCGCCACUUUCUCUCUGCUGGUUUCAUUCUCUUUUCCUCCAAAUGAUACACAUUUUGAAUUUAUUUAAGCCAAGAACAACGUAUACGCUCACCACCAUUCAUAUUAGAAGGUGGAUACAAUACAUCGUUCAGGACCUUCCAGCUCAUCAGUCAUCAAGAGGGUCUAAGCCUGCUCAAAGCUUUAGAGUGAGUUAGAGACGUUCUUGACAAAGUGAAUGCUUCUUUUCCUCCGAGCGGGUUUUAGAAGACAUUGCAUGCGAUGUGUUGUAUGUUGUCUCACUUGUGUGACAGAAGAAACAGAGAACACAACACAUCUGUCUCGCCUUUUCAUACAUUUGUGUCCUUCCCAAAUUUUUACUCUUUUUUGUUUUUUAAUGUUUCUUUCCUCAAAAUCAUCGACACUGAUUAGAGACGAUACUUCUAGAGGUUUGUAUGUAAUUAAGAAAAGUAAUCAAUAUUUACAAACUGUAUUAUUAUAAUACUGGAACAUCGAAUUUACAUUGGAAGUGGAUCAAUGAGAUUUAAUA